AGACCCAGAGAGAGAGGCAGGGUCUGAUCCGCAGACUCAGUGGCAGCUGUUGAUCAGUACCUGCCUCUCUCUUUCUCUCCC
rfam:Myotis brandtii contig233088, whole genome shotgun sequence.